rnacentral:rRNA from 1 species
UACGAAGGGGGCUAGCGUUGCUCGGAAUCACUGGGCGUAAAGGGCGCGUAGGCGGCCAUUCAAGUCGGGGGUGAAAGCCUGUGGCUCAACCACAGAAUUGCCUUCGAUACUGUUUGGCUUGAGUUUGGUAGAGGUUGGUGGAACUGCGAGUGUAGAGGUGAAAUUCGUAGAUAUUCGGAAGAACACCAGUGGCGAAGGCGGCGAUCUGGGUAGAUACUGACGCUGAGGUGCGAAAGCGUGGGGAGCAAACAGG